ensembl:lncRNA
GUGGGGCUUCGGGGGAUUAGUCCCUCCCGCCUGGUGGCCGCCUAAGGCGGAAGAACCGUGGGCCUGGGGCGGAGCUCCCUGGGCAGGGUGGGGCGGGGAGGAAGGGGGCGGGCAGAGGUCCUCGGCACCCUGGCCCGGCGGGAACAAACUGCCGCGGUGGCGGGAGCUAGGCUCGUGUGGCUGGAGGCGGGUCAUCCUUCUCUUCGCAGCUCCCGCAAACCCAUGGUUCCCUGGAGCCACAGCCUCCAGUGCUCUCAGCCUCUGAGAGUCAAGGCUUUCGUUGGCGCAGCUGCAGCCGGUGGCAAUGGCUACAAACCUCCUCCCCUCGUCUCCCUAAGGCGGAGCCCAGGCCACCCGGGCCGAAGCGCCCACGGAUCGCGAGUGAGCAGAAACGCCCAGACAGACGCCGCGGGACAGGGACCUACAAGAGUCCCAGGGGUUUCCGGCAAGCUGGAGAGGAGAGUGAUCCGGGGGAGCAAACUUGGCGCCGGCAACUCAGAGAGGCUAAGAUUCCAAUGGAUGGAGGAAGAGGUUUCAUAGGAACCAGAGCAGCUGUUCCUACUCUCUCAUUCUUCAAAUCUCAACACAGAGUCAAGCUCCUCCAGGAAGCCUGAGUCAUCCUGAGUCCCUCCCAUCUGAAAAAUGGGGACUACCAACGGUGGGGGCUGUUUUCCUCAAAGGAAGAAGAUUGGCUUUGGAGUUAAGCAGACCUGGACAAAGUCCUGAAUCAGCUAAGUCAGUCAGUUUGUGGCUUGCCCUGGAUGUGUGGUUUCCAAAACAAUUUACCUCUACUGGAACAAGGAAAUAAACAAAGAAAAAAGGAUGAUAUGGAAUCCAGGAAACCGAAGACGUAACACAGGCCAGAGAUGAAGGGAUGGUGGAAAGAAAUUCCAGAGCAACAUCUGUACAGCAGACAUGGAGAACCACCAGGCCAGACUGGAGCCAGAGGACAGAGAAAUCUGGGAGAGUUGUCCCCAGGAGGGCAGACAUGCAGCAAUAACAUUGAUGAAUUUCCUCAUACACUUGGUCUUGUGAAAAAUUGUACCAUUAGAGACAGAGAGAUUUAGCAGUAGAUAGACACUGAGCAAAUGAAAACAAAAAAGACACAGUUAGGUACAGGAAAAAUUAAAACAUUGAACAUACAUUGUAUACUCCUGGUUUAUCAGAUAACAAAAUGUAUACAGUAUACAAAGUAAUAAAGUAAAUGUUAUUAUAAAAACAAAUUUAAUCCAAAGUUAGUGAUUUUGGUGGCUGGCAACAGGAGGGAGGAGAUUUUAGAGGUAAGUAAUCAGGUAUCAUAAUAGAAAAUUAAUCAUUAGAGCCGAGGGUGGAUUUUCAGUGACAGAGCAUUUACUUGAUUGACUUGUUCCAGGCCUGGGUUUGAUUCCCAGAACCACAAAAAGAAAAAACGGGGGGGGGAGGGGUGCAGUGGGGGGGCAGUCAUUCAUUACUAUCUCAAGAGAGAGGACUAUAAACAUGAAAAUAUAUUCCAAAACAAAACAAACAAAUAAGAGCUGUAUUUGAAGCCAUGAAGUAGUGGCACACGCCCAUAAUCCUAGCACUCAGGAGGCAGAGACAGGCCGAUCUCUGUGAGUUCAAGGACAGCCUGGUCUACAGAGUGAGUUCCAGGACAGCCAGGACUGUUUCACAGAGAAACCCUGUCUCAAAGCAACAACAAAAAUAACAACAAAAGAACUGUAUUUGUAGAACUGCACUGGAGUUGUUACUUGUAGUACUAAAUGCAGAGUUUUUCAGAGCAGUGCAAGAUACCAAUUGUGAGUUUAUGAUUGCUGUUUGACUUAUGACAUUAUGUGCUCAUUUCAAUUGAACAAAAGCUUAAAUUAAAGGACUAGAGAUGUAGUUAGGUGGUACAGUGCUUGACUAGGGUGUGCAAGGCCCUGGGUUCAAUCCCCAA